GGGUUGUGAGGUUAAGCGACUAAGCGUACACGGUGGAUGCCCUGGCAGUCAGAGGCGAUGAAGGACGUGCUAAUCUGCGAAAAGCGUCGGUAAGGUGAUAUGAACCGUUAUAACCGGCGAUGUCCGAAUGGGGAAACCCAGUGCAAUUCGUUGCACUAUCGUUAACUGAAUACAUAGGUUAACGAGGCGAACCGGGGGAACUGAAACAUCUAAGUACCCCGAGGAAAAGAAAUCAACCGAGAUUCCCCCAGUAGCGGCGAGCGAACGGGGAGCAGCCCAGAGUCUGAAUCAGCUUGUGUGUUAGUGGAACGGUCUGGAAAGUCCGACGGUACAGGGUGAUAGUCCCGUACACCAAAAUGCACAGGUUGUGAACUCGAAGAGUAGGGCGGGACACGUGGUAUCCUGUCUGAAUAUGGGGGGACCAUCCUCCAAGGCUAAAUACUCCUGACUGACCGAUAGUGAACCAGUACCGUGAGGGAAAGGCGAAAAGAACCCCGGCGAGGGGAGUGAAAAAGAACCUGAAACCGUGUACGUACAAGCAGUGGGAGCACCUUCGGGUGUGACUGCGUACCUUUUGUAUAAUGGGUCAGCGACUUAUAUUCUGUAGCAAGGUUAACCGUAUAGGGGAGCCGCAGGGAAACCGAGUCUUAACUGGGCGUUAAGUUGCAGGGUAUAGACCCGAAACCCGGUGAUCUAGCCAUGGGCAGGUUGAAGGUUGGGUAACACUAACUGGAGGACCGAACCGACUAAUGUUGAAAAAUUAGCGGAUGACUUGUGGCUGGGGGUGAAAGGCCAAUCAAACCGGGAGAUAGCUGGUUCUCCCCGAAAGCUAUUUAGGUAGCGCCUCGUGAACUCAUCUUCGGGGGUAGAGCACUGUUUCGGCUAGGGGGUCAUCCCGACUUACCAACCCGAUGCAAACUACGAAUACCGAAGAAUGUUAUCACGGGAGACACACGGCGGGUGCUAACGUCCGUCGUGAAGAGGGAAACAACCCAGACCGCCAGCUAAGGUCCCAAAGUCAUGGUUAAGUGGGAAACGAUGUGGGAAGGCACAGACAGCCAGGAUGUUGGCUUAGAAGCAGCCAUCAUUUAAAGAAAGCGUAAUAGCUCACUGGUCGAGUCGGCCUGCGCGGAAGAUGUAACGGGGCUAAACCAUGCACCGAAGCUGCGGCAGCGACACUAUGUGUUGUUGGGUAGGGGAGCGUUCUGUAAGCCUGCGAAGGUGACCUGUGAGGGUUGCUGGAGGUAUCAGAAGUGCGAAUGCUGACAUAAGUAACGAUAAAGCGGGUGAAAAGCCCGCUCGCCGGAAGACCAAGGGUUCCUGUCCAACGUUAAUCGGGGCAGGGUGAGUCGACCCCUAAGGCGAGGCCGAAAGGCGUAGUCGAUGGGAAACAGGUUAAUAUUCCUGUACUUGGUGUUACUGCGAAGGGGGGACGGAGAAGGCUAUGUUAGCCGGGCGACGGUUGUCCCGGUUUAAGCAUGUAGGCUGAUUAUCCAGGCAAAUCCGGAUAAUCAAGGCUGAGGUGUGAUGACGAGGCACUACGGUGCUGAAGUAACAAAUGCCCUGCUUCCAGGAAAAGCCUCUAAGCAUCAGGUAACAUCAAAUCGUACCCCAAACCGACACAGGUGGUCAGGUAGAGAAUACCAAGGCGCUUGAGAGAACUCGGGUGAAGGAACUAGGCAAAAUGGUGCCGUAACUUCGGGAGAAGGCACGCUGGUGUGUAGGUGAAGCCCCUGCGGGUGGAGCUGAGACCAGUCGAAGAUACCAGCUGGCUGCAACUGUUUAUUAAAAACACAGCACUGUGCAAACACGAAAGUGGACGUAUACGGUGUGACGCCUGCCCGGUGCCGGAAGGUUAAUUGAUGGGGUUAUCCGUAAGGAGAAGCUCUUGAUCGAAGCCCCGGUAAACGGCGGCCGUAACUAUAACGGUCCUAAGGUAGCGAAAUUCCUUGUCGGGUAAGUUCCGACCUGCACGAAUGGCGUAAUGAUGGCCAGGCUGUCUCCACCCGAGACUCAGUGAAAUUGAACUCGCUGUGAAGAUGCAGUGUACCCGCGGCAAGACGGAAAGACCCCGUGAACCUUUACUAUAGCUUGACACUGAACAUUGAGCCUUGAUGUGUAGGAUAGGUGGGAGGCUUUGAAGCGUGGACGCCAGUCUGCGUGGAGCCAACCUUGAAAUACCACCCUUUAAUGUUUGAUGUUCUAACGUUGGCCCCUGACCGGGGUUGCGGACAGUGUCUGGUGGGUAGUUUGACUGGGGCGGUCUCCUCCCAAAGCGUAACGGAGGAGCACGAAGGUUAGCUAAUCCUGGUCGGACAUCAGGAGGUUAGUGCAAUGGCAUAAGCUAGCUUGACUGCGAGCGUGACGGCGCGAGCAGGUGCGAAAGCAGGUCAUAGUGAUCCGGUGGUUCUGAAUGGAAGGGCCAUCGCUCAACGGAUAAAAGGUACUCCGGGGAUAACAGGCUGAUACCGCCCAAGAGUUCAUAUCGACGGCGGUGUUUGGCACCUCGAUGUCGGCUCAUCACAUCCUGGGGCUGAAGUAGGUCCCAAGGGUAUGGCUGUUCGCCAUUUAAAGUGGUACGCGAGCUGGGUUUAGAACGUCGUGAGACAGUUCGGUCCCUAUCUGCCGUGGGCGCUGGAGAAUUGAGGGGGGCUGCUCCUAGUACGAGAGGACCGGAGUGGACGCAUCACUGGUGUUCGGGUUGUCAUGCCAAUGGCACUGCCCGGUAGCUAAAUGCGGAAGAGAUAAGUGCUGAAAGCAUCUAAGCACGAAACUUGCCCCGAGAUGAGUUCUCCCUGAGACUUUAAGUCUCCUGAAGGAACGUU
rnacentral:rRNA from 1 species